rnacentral:rRNA from 1 species
UGGAGGCAGCAGUGGGGAAUCUUAGACAAUGGGCGAAAGCUUGAUCUAGCCAUGCCGCGUGAGUGAUGAAGGCCCUAGGGUCGUAAAGCUCUUUCGCCAGAGAUGAUAAUGACAGUAUCUGGUAAAGAAACCCCGGCUAACUCCGUGCCAGCAGCCGCGGUAAUACGGAGGGGGUUAGCGUUGUUCGGAAUUACUGGGCGUAAAGCGCACGUAGGCGGACUAUUAAGUUAGAGGUGAAAUCCCAGGGCUCAACCCUGGAACUGCCUUUAAUACUGGUAGUCUUGAGUUCGAGAGAGGUGAGUGGAAUUCCAAGUGUAGAGGUGAAAUUCGUAGAUAUUUGGAGGAACACCAGUGGCGAAGGCGGCUCACUGGCUCGAUACUGACGCUGAGGUGCGAAAGUGUGGGGAGCAAACAGGAUUAGAUACCCUGGUAGUCCACACCGUAAACGAUGAAUGCCAGUCGUCGGGUAGCAUGCUGCUCGGUGACACACCUAACGGAUUAAGCAUUCCGCCUGGGGAGUACGGUCGCAAGAUUAAAACUCAAA